UGCAAGCGUUAAUCGGAAUUACUGGGCGUAAAGCGCACGUAGGCGGUUUUUUAAGUCAGAUGUGAAAGCCCCGGGCUCAACCUGGGAAUUGCAUUUGAAACUGGAAAACUAGAGUGUGUGAGAGGGGGGUAGAAUUCCAAGUGUAGCGGUGAAAUGCGUAGAGAUUUGGAGGAAUACCAGUGGCGAAGGCGGCCCCCUGGCACAACACUUGACGCUCAGGUGCGAAAGCGUGGGGAGCAAACAGUGAUUAGAUACCCUGGUAGUCCACGCCGUAAACGAUGUCUACUAGCUGUUCGUGACCUUGUGUUGUGAGUAGCGCAGCUAACGCACUAAGUAGACCGCCUGGGGAGUACGGUCGCAAGAUUAAAACUCAAAUGAAUUGACGGGGGCCCGCACAAGCGGUGGAGCAUGUGGUUUAAUUCGACGCAACGCGAAGAACCUUACCUACUCUUGACAUCCAGAGAAGACUGCAGAGAUGCGGUUGUGCCUUCGGGAACUCUGAGACAGGUGCUGCAUGGCUGUCGUCAGCUCGUGUUGUGAAAUGUUGGGUUAAGUCCCGCAACGAGCGCAACCCUCAUCCUUAGUUGCCAGCACGUAAUGGUGGGAACUCUAGGGAGACUGCCGGUGAUAAACCGGAGGAAGGUGGGGAUGACGUCAAGUCAUCAUAGCCCUUACGNGCCAGGGCUACACACGUGCUACAAUGGUCGGUACAAAGGGUUGCCCAAGCNCGCGANGGUCGAGCUAAUCCCAUAAAAACCGAUCGUAUU
rnacentral:rRNA from 1 species